GAUGAACGCUGGCGGCGUGCCUAAUACAUGCAAGUCGAGCGAACGGACGAGAAGCUUGCUUUUCUGAUGUUAGCGGCGGACGGGUGAGUAACACGUGGAUAACCUACCUAUAAGACUGGGAUAACUUCGGGAAACCGGAGCUAAUACCGGAUAAUAUUUUGAACCGCAUGGUUCAAAAGUGAAAGACGGUCUUGCUGUCACUGAUAGAUGGAUCCGCGCUGCAUUAGCUAGUUGGUAAGGUAACGGCUUACCAAGGCAACGAUGCAUAGCCGACCUGAGAGGGUGAUCGGCCACACUGGAACUGAGACACGGUCCAGACUCCUACGGGAGGCAGCAGUAGGGAAUCUUCCGCAAUGGGCGAAAGCCUGACGGAGCAACGCCGCGUGAGUGAUGAAGGUCUUCGGAUCGUAAAACUCUGUUAUUAGGGAAGAACAUAUGUGUAAGUAACUGUGCACAUCUUGACGGUACCUAAUCAGAAAGCCACGGCUAACUACGUG
rnacentral:rRNA from 1 species